rnacentral:rRNA from 1 species
AUAGCGUAUACUAAAGUUGUUGCAGUUAAAAAGCUCGUAGUUGAAUUUCUGGUCUCGGACAUCGGUCUGCCUCGAACGAGGUACGCACCAGUUGUCUGAAUCCAUCCUCGGGGAAAACGUAUCUGUCAUUCAGUUGAUGGGUACGGGAUCCUCGUCAUUUACUGUGAGCAAAAUAGAGUGUUCAAAGCAGGCUUAUGCCGUUGAAUACAUUAGCAUGGAAUAAUAAGAUAGGACCUUGGUCUAUUUUGUUGGUUUGUACUCCAAGGUAAUGAUUAAUAGGGACAGUUGGGGGCAUUAGUAUUGAGUUGCUAGAGGUGAAAUUCUUGGAUUUACUCAAGACUAACUACUG